rnacentral:rRNA from 1 species
GACGAACGCUGGCGGCGUGCUUAACACAUGCAAGUCGAACGGAAAGGCCUUUGUUAGCUUCGGCUGGCGGGGUACUCGAGUGGCGAACGGGUGAGUAACACGUGGGUGAUCUGCCCUGCACUUCGGGAUAAGCCUGGGAAACUGGGUCUAAUACCGGAUAGGACCAUCGUUUAGUGUCGGUGGUGGAAAGUUUUUCGGUGCAGGAUGAGCUCGCGGCCUAUCAGCUUGUUGGUGGGGUAAUGGCCUACCAAGGCGUCGACGGGUAGCCGGCCUGAGAGGGUGGACGGCCACAUUGGGACUGAGACACGGCCCAGACUCCUACGGGAGGCAGCAGUGGGGAAUAUUGCACAAUGGGCGCAAGCCUGAUGCAGCGACGCCGCGUGGGGGAUGAAGGCCUUCGGGUUGUAAACUCCUUUCAACCAUGACGAAGCGUGAGUGACGGUAGUGGUAGAAGAAGCACCGGCUAACUACGUG